rnacentral:RNase_P_RNA from 1 species
CGAGCCGGCCGGGCGGCCGCGUGGGGAUCCCGUAUCCCCCCGAGGAACGUCCGGGCUCCACAGGGCAGGGUGGUGGGUAACGCCCACCCGGGGUGACCCGCGGGACAGUGCCACAGAAAGCAGACCGCCGGGGACCUCGGUCCUCGGUAAGGGUGAAACGGUGGUGUAAGAGACCACCAGCCUCCGAGGUGACUCGGAGGGCUAGGUAAACCCCACCCGGAGCAAGGUCAAGAGGGGGCAUCGGAAGAUGCCCCUGCGCGGAUGUAUGAGGGCAGCCCGCCCGAGUCCGCGGGUAGACCGCACGAGGCUGCCGGCAACGGCAGCCCUAGAUGGAUGGCCGCCUCCCGGCCGACCGCAAGGUCGCCCGGAGACAGAACCCGGCGUACAGGCCGGUCUCGUCCG